GGGGAUGACUGUAGCUCAGUGGCACAGCAUCUACUCUGCAUGCAGAAGGCCCCAGGUUCGAAUCCUGCCAUUUCCA